ACAACUAUUUGCUUAUGGUGUAGUUGACAUUGAAUACAGGAGAGUUCCAUGUAGUUAUAAUCGCAACCUUGAGCUAAGAAUCCAUGAGAAUAGCAAUUACCCUUCCUACUUGGCCCUGGCCCCUAUAUACAAAGAUGGAAUGUCUGAUAUCACUGGUAUAGACAUCGGACUGGUAUAUCCUCUAACAAAACUCUUCCUUUUUCUACGUCAUGAGCAUGAAGUUUUUAAGCCAUCAUGUUUUCCAAAGUUUAAAAGUUCGUUAAAGGUAUUUUUCUUAUAAGUGAUAUCAUGCGUAUGUCAUGUAGAACGACUAUCGAUAGUCUUCAUUAUGCAUAACAUUAAUCUUCUUAUAAAUAUGUUUGAACUUGAAAGAAAUUACUUUUCUUUUGAAAUAUUUUGUUUAGAAACUUACCUGUUAGACAAACAUUUUCUAUUUACUUUCUAAAAUCGUUCUUUUUUCUUCUUCUUCAAAUUAGAAGUUCUUUUUUUUUUUUUUCCCUCAAAUUGGAAGUCUCAAUUUGAAGUAGACCACUAAAUUUCAAUUCUUCAAAAUAGGUCACUAUUACAUUACAUUCUCCAUUCAACCAAAGCAAUAUACUUUUCUCAAAUAUUACAAGCUAAAAAGUAAGCAUACAGAAUUUCAUUAGUACUAAAGUACCAUAAGUUAUUUAAAGAUUAAAAAGUAGGUCAAACUUAGUCCCUGCUUGAUUCAACUGAAAAAUUAGAUUAAAACCAUAGUAAAAAAAUAACAAUUAAUUUUAACCACAUAUUUCAUGGAACCUAAAACUUUUUAACUACAUAUUGCAUCAAUUUUUAUCAAAAAUCUACUAAUAAUCUGAUUUUCAUCUAAACCUCUUAGGGGCUUACCUUUAAGUUACUUAUUUUGUCAAACACGUUUCCAAAAUUACUUGUUUGACUAGUAGAAGACGUAAUUUCUAAAAAAGUAAUUUUUAAGCACAACUAAAUAUUCUUAUCAAUGAUCACUGACAUUGUACUUGUUUCUGAUAAUGAACAAAGGAGGAUAGCGAGGAAUGGAGUCCAAUGCGUAGGGCGUAUGGAACGGUAUUCGACAUUUCAAAUCCACCCAUCGGAUCUCUUCACGUUAGAAUUAACUAUGCCAUCCCGUAUGAAGUUAAUUUGGUACAAUUAACCCGUGCCAUUCCUACGGAUUGGAAGGCUGGAGUUGCAUAUGACACCGCAUCUCAACUUAAUUAAGCUCCAAACUACCCGUUCCACCUACUUUUUACCUAUAUAUAUGUAUAGUAUAAAAAAAGGUUGAACCCCAACCUUGAGGGCCCUCACUGCCCCGUCCCUAGAGCUUUGUGAGAUAUAUAUUAAAGUAUGUAUGUGUGUGUGUGUGUGUAAGAAGUUAAAAAUAAAUAAGUGGGACUUGUGUUCAGUUGUGAUAUAAAUAAAAUUUCUGUAAUAUUUAGUUAUUUAUGCUAUCCUGGUACAAACUCAGGCCCCGUUUGAUACACAUUAAUGUAAAAAUGAGAAUGAAAAAUAUAGCCUUAUGGGCCCUACACAAGAGAUGGAAAGUCAAAUAUGGUGGUUUGAUGUGAUGGAUAACGAUCAUAUUUUUUAUUUUAAUGGGUAAAUAAUGGGAAACAAACAGGGGCUUAAUAUUUUUUAGUUAAGUUUAUGGGACAUUGAUCCCAGUUUAUUAAUGUGUUUUAAGAGUCAAGUUUGUUGCAUGUAAGAACCUCUUCAAUAGUCUUUUUUAUUUAAUUAUAGAAGCAUCUCGUAUAUAAUAGAAAAUAUUUUGAAAUUUAAAUAGUAAGACUUUCGAUACACUCAAACAAGCUCUUUAUUUUACUUUUUCAAAAUAUAUUUAUUUUUUCCCCGCAUUUUCAAUUAACAUAUAUUUUUAUAGAUGUCAAUUGCCAAUAAAUUCAAAGAGAAUUUGAAGAAUCCAAGAAAUGAAUAAUCGAAAUUUGCAAUUUAUUAAAUGCAAUGUGAACUUUGGAUUCAUAAUGCUUAUGACAUAACAUGGGUCUUCAUCGCUGAAGCGAUGGAGGGCAAUGGUCAAACUUUAUGUAAAUGGUGAUUCUACUUCUGGAGUCAUGUGAGAAAUAAUUAAAAUGGUGAUUUAGUGCAAACUUACUUUUACCCACGUAAGAUAGCAUACGGGGUCAUAGACCUAUUGAUGUCUAGGACAUGACAUUGUGACGUGAUAGAACUUGACCAAUAAGCUAUUGGAUGAAGUCAUGCGUCAAGCAUCCAGGAAGCCUUCAUUCAACAUUUAUGUUUGAAAGGUUUCAAUGCAAGUGUUUUAGUGAAAUUUGAAAUUAAUAUAUUAAUUUUUUCACUUAUUUGAAAGCUAUUAUUUUUGUGUCGCUAAAUCAAUGAUUUGAAACCAAAUCAAACCACAAAAUAUGAUUUGGUUUGAUUUUGCUGACCUCAAAAUUUGGCCUGAUAAUAGAAUUCAGGCCAUAUCCUUUUCCAUAUAGGCAUCACAUGCACAUUGGAAAAGAACCAUUAAGGUGUAAAGGAGCCGUCCUAAAAAAAAAACUUGACAACCUUUUCAAUUCGAAGGUCAAAUCAACUAUCAAAACAGGUCAUGGAAUGAGUGCAAGAGAAAUGUGUAAGAUGGGAUUUGGCAAAUGUUUAGAUGAACAUGCCUUCAAGUCCAGAUGCGCGCACACAGAGAGAGAGAGAGGGGAGAGAGAGAGAGAGAGAGAGAGGGCCAAAUGGGUUAGGGAUCGGGCUCAAGCCCGAGAAGAGGUUACUUAGGUUUACUCGGCUGUAUCCAAUUAACAUUGUUGAGGCCUAGUCAACUAAUGUUAACCUCUCUUUGUGACGUGCAUGCCAUGUAAUUUAUUUAUAUGCCAAUAGUUUACCAUAUCUGAGGUGUACAUUUAGGUGUGGGUCAAAAAUGCGAGUUAUCUUCAAUUAGACGAUGACUUACCAAUUGCCUUAUGAAUAUGAGUAGAUCCCAAAUAAGUGAGGAUUUACGAAUUGCCUCUAAUAUACGAGCCCAUCCCUAACAAGUAUGAGCUUACAAAUGGUCAUAGAAAUAUAGUCGACUUCAAAUUGAGG
rnacentral:lncRNA from 1 species